UACAGAGGCCUCGAGCGUUAGGCGGAAUCACUGGGCUUAAAGCGCGUGUAGGCGGGUCGUUAAGUACCUUGUGAAAUCCCACGGCUCAACCGUGGAACUGCUGGGUAUACUGGCGAUCUUGGGCCAUCUAGGGGUUGCCGGAACAAGCGGUGGAGCGGUGAAAUGCGUAGAUAUCAGGAGGAACACCUGUGGUGUAGACAGCUUGCUGGACCAUCACUGACGCUGAGGCACGAAAGCGUGGGUAGCAAACAGG
rnacentral:rRNA from 1 species